GUGGAUUAGAUACCCUGGUAGUCCACGCUGUAAACGAUGAAUACUAGGUGUGGGGGGACUAACCCCCUCCGUGCCGGAGUUAACACAAUAAGUAUUCCACCUGGGGAGUACGGCCGCAAGGUUGAAACUCAAAGGAAUUGACGGGGGCCCGCACAAGCAGUGGAUUAUGUGGUUUAAUUCGAAGCAACGCGAAGAACCUUACCAGGGCUUGACAUCCUACUAACGAAGCAGAGAUGCAUUAGGUGCCCUUCGGGGAAAGUAGAGACAGGUGGUGCAUGGCUGUCGACAACU
rnacentral:rRNA from 1 species